rnacentral:snoRNA from 1 species
CCCCUUUCAGGGUCACAUCUGGAGAGUUCCCAAUACUCUAUCAGUCUCGACUACAGGAGGGAGAGUCAGGUAGAGGCAAAUCCAUUCCAUUCCUAGCUUGGGCAAUGACUAGCCAUUGGAAGGCAAUCUGCUACAAGU